AUUGAACGCUGGCGGCAGGCCUAACACAUGCAAGUCGAACGAGUGGCGGACGGGUGAGUAUUGUCUGGGAAAAUGCCUGCUGGCGGGGGAUAACUACUGGAAACGGUAGCUAAUACCGCAUACCUUCAUUUGAUCCCUGAUGGGUUUAGCUAGUUGGUGGGGUAACGGCUCACCAAGACGACGAUCCCUAGCUGGUCUGAGAGGAUGACCAGCCACCCUGGAACGGGGACACGGUCCAGACUCCUACGGGAGGCAGCAGUGGGGAAUAUUGCACAAGGGGCGCAAGCCUGAUGCAGCAAUGCCGCGUGUAUGAAGAAGGCCUUCGGGUUGUAAAGUACUUUCAGCGGGGAGGCGUUACCCGCAGAAGAAGCACCGGCUAACUCCGUGCCAGCCGCCGCGGUAAUAC
rnacentral:rRNA from 1 species